rnacentral:rRNA from 1 species
GACGAACGCUGGCGGCGUGCCUAAUACAUGCAAGUAGAACGCACAGGAUGCACCGUAGUUUACUACACCGUAUUCUGUGAGUUGCGAACGGGUGAGUAACGCGUAGGUAACCUGCCUGGUAGCGGGGGAUAACUAUUGGAAACGAUAGCUAAUACCGCAUAAGAACAUUUACUGCAUGGUAGAUGUUUAAAAGGUGCAAAAGCAUCACUACCAGAUGGACCUGCGUUGUAUUAGCUAGUUGGUGAGGUAACGGCUCACCAAGGCAACGAUACAUAGCCGACCUGAGAGGGUGAUCGGCCAUACUGGGACUGAGACACGGCCCAGACUCCUACGGGAGGCAGCAGUAGGGAAUCUUCGGCAAUGGGGGGAACCCUGACCGAGCAACGCCGCGUGAGUGAAGAAGGUUUUCGGAUCGUAAAGCUCUGUUGUUAAGGAAGAACGUGUGUGAGAGUGGAAAGUUCACACAGUGACUGUAC